CCGCGUGGAGGUAGAAGGCCCACGGGUCGUAAACUUCUUUUCCCGGAGAAGAAGCAAUGACGUUAUCUGGGGAAUAAGCAUCGGCUAACUCUGUGC
rnacentral:rRNA from 1 species